rnacentral:rRNA from 2 species
GAGUUUGAUCGUGGCUCAGAUUGAACGCUGGCGGAAUGCUUUACACAUGCAAGUCGAACGGCAGCACGGGGGCAACCCUGGUGGCGGGUGGCGAACGGGUGAGUAAUACAUCGGAACGUGCCCAGUCGUGGGGGAUAACGUAGCGAAAGCUACGCUAAUACCGCAUACGAUCUCUGGAUGAAAGCGGGGGACCGCAAGGCCUCGCGCGAUUGGAGCGGCCGAUGGCAGAUUAGGUAGUUGGUGGGGUAAAGGCUCACCAAGCCGACGAUCUGUAGCUGGUCUGAGAGGACGACCAGCCACACUGGGACUGAGACACGGCCCAGACUCCUACGGGAGGCAGCAGUGGGGAAUUUUGGACAAUGGGCGCAAGCCUGAUCCAGCCAUUCCGCGUGCAGGAUGAAGGCCCUCGGGUUGUAAACUGCUUUUGUACGGAACGAAACGGCUCCCUCUAAUACAGGGGGCUAAUGACGGUACCGUAAGAAUAAGCACCGGCUAACUACGUGCCAGCCGCCGCAGUAAC